rnacentral:lncRNA from 1 species
CUCACAGCACACAGCAGUCUUUGUAAUUUACACUGACAAAACCUUGGAGUGGAGACUCUGAUAGGAAAUUUAAGUGGAAAAAAAAAAAAAGAGAAAGAGGCACAGAUGAGACGUUUUAUUCUCAUUGACAUUGUCAGAAUUUUGUUUUCAAGAACCUUAAUUGUAAUUGGAGACUUGAAAUGUCAUAGGGGAUUCAUUUUGCAAGACGGAGAAGAGGGAAAAGAGGGACAUGGAUGAAUCUGGAGAACGUCAUCCUCAGCAAACUGACACAAGAACAGAAAAUGAAACACCGCAUAUUCUCACUCAUAGAUCACCAGCUGUCUGUUGUAACGCUCACCAUGUCCUGGCUGGCACUUUCGGCCUUUGGUGGCCUAUGUGACAGCUGCCACAGUCUGAGAAUCCAAGGAAGCCUCUGGAGAGGAUAAGCAGGAAUCCUGUCACCCUGAGGACACCAGCGCAGAACAACGUGGUUUGCAGAAAAGGUGUUGGCUGCCAGCUGUAGCCCAGAGGUCACAGCCUGGCAGCCCACAGGCUCUAUUCGACCUAGAGAGAGGUGUUUUCUGCCCACACAAUAGUUAAGAUUUAGACAAUUUCAUGGGGGCAAACAAUCCAGUUCUGUGACUUCUCUUGGGAAACCUGAAGACCCAGAAACCCUUAAAUUCCCACUUGGCAACUUUUGGCUGGAUCUGAGUAGCAUCUGUUCCCUUUAAACUCCAGUUCAUCCCAUGCCUAGUGUUUGUAUUAUUGCUAAUUUUAUCAAUAAUAGUCUCUAUAUUCUUAUCUGCAUAAAAAUGGGAAACAAAACAAAUUGCUGUGUUGAGCUAACCCGGCCUGAUCCUAAUCAGCAGUGAAACACACCCGACUCCCUUGGCUCACCAGUGCUCCUCUAACCAUCAGGUAGCUUUCUUUCAGAGUUGCCUGCAGCGAGAGACUGUGCUGGUCAGCUGGCAUGAAUAUCUAUUUUGUUUGACAGCUGUUUCUUACUGGAAAUGAAUAAAUUGUGAUUCUGACCGACUCAUUCGUCUUCAGUACUCUUUUCUUUUUUAGCCUAAAUCAGCAUUUCCAAAUCCAGUUAACUUUGAUACAUUUAUGAGGGUGUUUUUAUGAGCCUAUGUGGCACAGGACCAGGCUCUCAACGUCAAUUCAUGU